rnacentral:snRNA from 1 species
CGGUGCCAGUCAAGAUGUAC